AAUACGUUCCCGGGCCCUUGUACACACCGCCCGUCACACCCAUGGAAGUCGGUUGUACCGGAAGCGAGCGCGCCAACCCGCAAGGGGGGCAACUCCCCAGGGUACGACCGGUAACCGGGGUG
rnacentral:rRNA from 1 species